rnacentral:rRNA from 1 species
GAUGAACGCUGGCGGCGUGCCUAAUACAUGCCAGUCGAGCGAACGGACGAGAAGCUUGCUUUUCUGAUGUUAGCGGCGGACGGGUGAGUAACACGUGGAUAACCUACCUAUAAGACUGGGAUAACUUCGGGAAACCGGAGCUAAUACCGGAUAAUAUUUUGAACCGCAUGGUUCAAAAGUGAAAGACGGUCUUGCUGUCACUUAUAGAUGGAUCCGCGCUGCAUUAGCUAGUUGGUAAGGUAACGGCUUACCAAGGCAACGAUGCAUAGCCGACCUGAGAGGGUGAUCGGCCACACUGGAACUGAGACACGGUCCAGACUCCUACGGGAGGCAGCAGUAGGGAAUCUUCCGCAAUGGGCGAAAGCCUGACGGAGCAACGCCGCGUGAGUGAUGAAGGUCUUCGGAUCGUAAAACUCUGUUAUUAGGGAAGAACAUAUGUGUAAGUAACUGUGCACAUCUUGACGGUACCUAAUCAGAAGGCCACGGCUAACUACGUG